GCAGAACGACCAAGAGAA
rnacentral:rRNA from 1 species